rnacentral:rRNA from 1 species
GAUGAACGCUGGCGGCGUGCCUAAUACAUGCAAGUCGAGCGAACGGACGAGAAGCUUGCUUCUCUGAUGUUAGCGGCGGACGGGUGAGUAACACGUGGAUAACCUACCUAUAAGACUGGGAUAACUUCGGGAAACCGGAGCUCAUACCGGAUAAUAUUUUGAACCGCAUGGUUCAAAAGUGAAAGACGGUCUUGCUGUCACUUAUAGAUGGAUCCGCGCUGCAUUAGCUAGUUGGUAAGGUAACGGCUUACCAAGGCAACGAUGCAUAGCCGACCUGAGAGGGUGAUCGGCCACACUGGAACUGAGACACGGUCCAGACUCCUACGGGAGGCAGCAGUAGGGAAUCUUGCGCAAUGGGCGAAAGCCUGACGGAGCAACGCCGCGUGAGUGAUGAAGGUCUUCGGAUCGUAAAACUCUGUUAUUAGGGAAGAACAUAUGUGUGAGUAACUGUGCACAUCUUGACGUUACCUAAUCAGAAAGCCACGGCUAACUACGUG